CGGGAGGGGGGCUCCACGGAGCUCCAGCCAGGGCCGCGGUGCGCCUGCACGUCACGGCUACUCAAACCCAAGCACGUCCCGAAAGCGGUAUUUUCUGCGUCUGGGAGGUUUUUGCAUCCUCAGUUCCCACCGCUGGGGCUGGCGGCGACCAACUGUAAGAGAAACUCACUGGGAGGCGAGGCAGGGGGGUGCGGAGGAUGGGAAGGCGACUCUGAAGGGUGGGAAGUGAAUGCUGGACUUGAUCGUCUUUCUCUUUCUUUCAGCGCAGACCUGUCGCAGCCAGAGAGCUGUCAUUUCAGUACCGGGAUUCAGAAUUGAUCCAGUCCGCAGCGGAGGGGGCACAUCCCAGCUACCGAGCUGCUGAGUGUCUCUGGCUGGAACAAUAGUAUUUUUUUCUCUGCGAGGCUGCAAUUAACAUCUUAUUUUUUCUGGCUCCAUACAGGCUUUGUCAGGAUCGCGGUGCGGCGACCGACGUUGGGCUCUUGCAUUGCUUUCUGCUUGGCAAUGGAAUCAUGAUAGUCAUUUUGCCUCCUGGACAGUUGGCUGACGAAGUGUCUGAUAAACCAGCUUCAGAUACAUGCUACAAAAGGCUACUGAGCUGGCCUGAUGAUGAUCCUGCUGAGAUAUAUUUAUAGCAGAUGAUUUGUGGAUGAUAACUACGCCAAGCAAGACACUGUCUCUAGUAACCCCAGGCUCGUCUGACUUCCUCAGGGGAUUAUAAUAAAGAAUCACAAAAAGAACCCUAUAUGGACAGUCUGGUCUCUGGACACUAACAACAGCACAAUCCAAAGGCAAAGCAAGGAGGAACCACCUUGUUUCAUGUCUGCAAGAUGCUCCAUAUGAAAGCAUUACUGACAUGUUGACCCAACAGCAAAAAGAGAGCAGCAGUUUACACACCCUCAGCUCUCUGUCCUUUCCUUUCUAUUGAUGUUGGUCCACUUUUAUGACUGAAUACAUAUUAAAAUCACC
rnacentral:lncRNA from 1 species